UCCAGACUCCUACGGGAGGCAGCAGUGAGGAAUAUUGGUCAAUGGGCGCGAGCCUGAACCAGCCAAGUCGCGUGAGGGAGGACGGCCCUACGGGUUGUAAACCUCUUUUGCCGGGGAGCAACGGGCGUCACGUGUGGCGCCACUGAGAGUACCCGGAGAAAAAGCAUCGGCUAACUCCGUGCCAGCAGCCGCGGUAAUACGGAGGAUGCGAGCGUUAUCCGGAUUUAUUGGGUUUAAAGGGUGCGUAGGUUGUUUUUUAAGUCAGCGGUGAAAGUUUGUGGCUCAACCAUAAAAUUGCCGUUGAAACUGGAAGACUUGAGUGUGUUUGAGGUAGGCGGAAUGCGUGGUGUAGCGGUGAAAUGCAUAGAUAUCACACAGAACUCCGAUUGCGAAGGCAGCUUACUAAGCCAUAACUGACACUGAAGCACGAAAGCGUGGGGAUCAAACAGGAUUAGAUACCCUGGUA
rnacentral:rRNA from 1 species